GUUCAGCCUAACUGCAUCCCCAUCUCUACAUCUACAAGUGGGAAAUAAUAAUGUUAACUACAUCUUAGCAUUGUGGUGAGGAGUAUAUAAACUAAUCAAGAAGACUCUUAUGGCAUAUAAUUUAAUCAGGGCUCAAAAAACACCAGUCACUCUUACCAUGACUAUUGGUUGAACAGUUCUUCUGUGCUAAAUGAGGUGCUUUAAAGGCGCACAUUCUCAUUUGAUU
rnacentral:lncRNA from 1 species